CCAGACUCCUACGGGAGGCAGCAGUGAGGAAUAUUGGUCAAUGGUCGGGAGACUGAACCAGCCAAGUCGCGUGAGGGAUGACGGUCCUAUGGAUUGUAAACCUCUUUUGUCGGGGAGCAAGGCCCGCCACGUGUGGCGGGAAGGAGAGUACCCGAAGAAAAAGCAUCGGCUAACUCCGUGCCAGCAGCCGCGGGAAUACGGAGGAUGCGAGCGUUAUCCGGAUUUAUUGGGUUUAAAGGGGGCGCAGGCGGCCCGGCAAGCCGGCGGUCAAAUCGCGGGGCUCAACCCCGCCCAGCCGUCGGAACUGCCGGGCUAGAGUGGGCGAGAAGUGCGCGGAAUGCGUGGUGUAGCGGUGAAAUGCAUAGAUAUCACGCAGAACUCCGAUUGCGAAGGCAGCGCACCGGCGCCCUACUGACGCUCAGGCACGAAAGCGUGGGUAUCGAACAGGAUUAGAUACCCCUGUA
rnacentral:rRNA from 1 species